AACGAACGCUGGCGGCAGGCCUAACACAUGCAAGUCGAGCGCGCCCUUCGGGGUGAUCGGCGGACGGGUUUGUAACGCGUGGGAACGUUCCCUUCUCUGCGGAAUAGCUUCGGGAAACUGAGAGUAUUACCGCAUACGCCCUUUGGGGGAAAGAUUUAUCGUGGAAGGAUCGGCCCGCGUUGGAUUAGGUAGUUGUUUGGGUAAUGGCCCACCAAGCCGACGAUUCAUAGAUGGUUUGAGAGGAUGAUCAGCCACACUGGGACUGAGACACGGCCCAGCCUCCUACGGGAGGGAGCAGUGGGGAAUCUUAGACAAUGGGGGCAACCCUGAUAGAGCCAUGACGGGUGAGUGAUGAAGGCCUUAGGGUUGUAAAGCUCUUUCAGCUGGGAAGAUAAUGACGGUACCAGCAGAAGAAGCCCCGGCUAACUCCGUG
rnacentral:rRNA from 1 species